CAUUGGGGGGACAUUGGGGACAUUGGGGAGGUGACACCAGAGGUGACCCUCGUGUGUGUGUGUGUGUCUCCCCCCCCUCCCAGUUCGCAGGGAUGGUGCCACUGGGACGACUGGGGGACCCUGAGGGUGAGUUGGGGACACUUUGGGGACACUUUGGGGACACUUGGAGGUGCCACCACCCCCCGGUGUCCCCCAGACGUGGCAGACGUGGUGGCUUUCCUGGCGUCGGGGGGACAGCGGCUACGUCACCGGGGCCACCCUGGAGGUGACAGGGGGUCUCUUCAUGUGACGGAUCCAGCCCCUCCCCCCAAGUGUCCCCCCAAUGGGGGGAGGGGCAGACCUCAAAAAUCUGGGGGGUUGGGAUGGGGGGGAGGCCCCGAGUUUGGGGGGAGGGGACCCCAAAAUUUGGGUGGGGGACAAAAGGGGGUCCCAAAAAUCGGGGAGGGUCCCAAAACUGGGGAGGAGGGGCCUAAAGUAGGGGAGGGGCUCCCCUAAAAUAUGGGGGGGAACCCCAAAACUGGGGGGGUCGAGGGAGGGGGGUGGAAACCCCUCCAAAAAACCACCAGGAGCCGUUGCCAUGGAGAUGUUUAUUGGCCACGCCCACCGAGACCACGCCCACUCCUCCCCUCCCUUAAAUUUCUAAAACAACAAAAAUAAACAUUUUGGACCCCAAAUUUGUUUUUAUUUUGGGGUGGAGACCCCAAAUUUUUGGGGUGGGGGUUUGGGAGGGGUCUCUUAAAUUCGGGGGGGAGGUCAGAUGUAGCCCUGCCCCCUCUUGACCCUGCCCCCCUUAAAACCUCCUCUAAAACGACAAAAAUAAACAUUUUGGGCCUCAAA